AGAUUGAACGCUGGCGGCAGGCCUAACACAUGCAAGUCGAGCGGCAGCACGGGUACUUGUACCUGGUGGCGAGCGGCGGACGGGUGAGUAAUGCCUAGGAAUCUGCCUGGUAGUGGGGGAUAACGCUCGGAAACGGACGCUAAUACCGCAUACGUCCUACGGGAGAAAGCAGGGACCUUCGGACCUUGCGCUAUCAGAUGAGCCUAGGUCGAUUAGCUAGUUGGUGAGGUAAUGGCUCACCGAAGGCGACGAUCCGUAACUGGUCUGGAGGGGAUGAUCAGUCACACUGGAACUGAGACACGGUCCAGACU
rnacentral:rRNA from 1 species